UAGGGAAUCUUCCACAAUGGGUGCAAACCUGAUGGAGCAAUGCCGCGUGAGUGAAGAAGGUCUUCGGAUCGUAAAGCUCUGUUGUUAGAGAAGAACACGUGCUAGGUAACUACUAGCGCCUUGACGGUAUCUAACCAGAAAGUCACGGCUAACUACGUGCCAGCAGCCGCGGUAAUACGUAGGUGACAAGCGUUGUCCGGAUUUAUUGGGCGUAAAGGGAGCGCAGGCGGUCUGUUUAGUCUAAUGUGAAAGCCCACGGCUUAACCGUGGAAACGGCAUUGGAAACUGACAGACUUGAAUGUAGAAGAGGAAAAUGGAAUUCCAAGUGUAGCGGUGGAAUGCGUAGAUAUUUGGAGGAACACCAGUGGCGAAGGCGAUUUUCUGGUCUAACAUUGACGCUGAGGCUCGAAAGCGUGAGGAGCGAACAGGAUUAGAUACCCUGGUAGUCCACGCCGUAAACGAUGAGUGCUAAGUGUUGGGGGCUUUCCGGCCCUCGGUGCUGGAGCUAACGUAUUAAGCACUCCGCCUGGGGAUUACGACCGCAAGGUUG
rnacentral:rRNA from 1 species